AGCGAACGCUGGCGGCAUGCCUAACACAUGCAAGUCGAACGAGACCUUCGGGUCUAGUGGCGCACGGGUGCGUAACGCGUGGGAAUCUGCCCUUGGGUGCGGAAUAACAGUUAGAAAUGACUGCUAAUACCGCAUAAUGACUCCGGUCCAAAGAUUUAUCGCCCAAGGAUGAGCCCGCGUCGGAUUAGCUAGUUGGUGAGGUAAAAGCUCACCAAGGCGACGAUCCGUAGCUGGUCUGAGAGGAUGAUCAGCCACACUGGGACUGAGACACGGCCCAGACUCCUACGGGAGGCAGCAGUGGGGAAUAUUGGACAAUGGGCGAAAGCCUGAUCCAGCAAUGCCGCGUGAGUGAUGAAGGCCUUAGGGUUGUAAAGCUCUUUUACCCGGGAUGAUAAUGACAGUACCGGGAGAAUAAGCCCCGGCUAACUCCGUGCCAGCCGCCGCAGUAAAAC
rnacentral:rRNA from 1 species